rnacentral:rRNA from 1 species
GGAAGUAAAAGUCGUAACAAGGUUUCCGUAGGUGAACCUGCGGAAGGAUCAUUAAAAAUAUAGCAAACCAAGCGUUAGCGAGGUUUUGCGAUCAAAAUUGUAUUUAAAACCCAACUCUUUGAAUCAAAUAUAUAUAUUAUGUAUCAUAAAUAAAUAAAAGAUCACUUUCAACAACGGAUCUCUUGGCUCUCGCAUCGAUGAAGAACGUAGCGAAGUGCGAUAAGUAAUGUGAAUUGCAGAAUUCCGUGAAUCAUCGAAUCUUUGAACGCAAAUUGCACUUUCUGGUAUUCCGGAGAGUAUGCCUGUUUGAGGGUCAGUGUAAUAAAUAAUCGUGGUUGUUACCACCUUUCGUGGUGACGCUUCGGAAUUGAGUCGUCUUACCUUCGGUUAAGUGACUUAAAAUUUUUUCAUACGAUUUCGAACGUAUUUAAUGUAUUAUGUACGUUCACGAAUAUCGAAUGUUUAUUAGGUGCGGUCAUUUUCAUGAAUCGUGUCUAUAAUUUUUUUUUGACCUCAAAUCAGGUAAGAAUACCCGCCGAACUUAAGCAUAUCAAUAAGCGGAGGA